UACAGAGGGUGCAAGCGUUGUUCGGAAUUACUGGGCGUAAAGCGCGUGUAGGCUGCGGUGUAAGUCGGACGUGAAAGCCCUUGGCUUAACCAAGGAAGUGCGUCCGAUACUGCGUCGCUUGAGUGUCGGAGGGGGCGGCGGAAUUCCCGGUGUAGAGGUGAAAUUCGUAGAUAUCGGGAGGAACACCUGUGGCGAAGGCGGGUCUCUGGGCCAUUACUGACGCUGAGGAGCGAAAGCGUGGGGAGCGAACAGG
rnacentral:rRNA from 1 species